UUCGGUUUUACACAAAACUCCCUAUCUUUUGGAGUAUUCAACCCGUGAUCCGAGCAGAUUUGUAAAGGAAAAAAAAUACGGCAGCAAACAGACCACGGGCGCUCGUCUCCUCUCCCUCUCGCCCACGAACUCCUCGCCGCCGCCGCCACCUGCACCGGCCGCUUCCGGCGACCUUCGACGCCGCGCAGCACGCCCCCCGAGCUCCUCACGGUCCGCGCCUCCCUCCCCUCCGACCAGAUUCUCCGCUCCAGUCCUCUACCGCCCGCUUGCAACCCCACCCCCGUGGCUAGGGUUCCGGGCAGGGCUUCGCCGGCUCGUCUCCGGCGGCCCCAGUUAUUUGGCUCAUCGUCGUAUCGCAAGUUUCUGACAUCGCUGUACACCGUUGACGUCGCCGGAAAUCCGUCUGCACGUACUCCACUGUCCGCCGGAACUUUGUCCGACCUGAGUUCUCAUUGGUUCAGACCAAUGCUAUAUGGUUCCACUCUACCCUGGCUAGGCCCACGAGAGCCUGCAAGCCGGCGGCAGCAGGGAUGGCCGGAUAGAGCCGCAUGGACUCAAUGACUCAGAGGAGGAUCGGAGGGGGUGGCCUGUACGUGGAGGAUGAUUCACACACAAGCUGGCACGCCCAACAAAUGCAUUAGUUUGGCUCUUGCACUAGAGAAUGACAGAUGGUGUAUACUGACAGAGGGGGAAGAAUUCUGCAGCAUACUGUGCAAGAUCUUUAUUUACACCAACGAGGAGGUCCAGAAGAUGAAUUCGAAAUCAUCAUGUACCCAAGAAAGGAGGAAGUUCCAUGGAUGGUGAUUGUGCAAACAAGAAGGCACAUCUCACACAUCAUGCAAUUUAGAUAACUAACUAACUAGUAUUCAAUUCUUCUUUACCGGGUUGCUGUUCCCGUUCAGUAGCGGUUGCACCUUCUACAACAGUGAGCCCGAGCGGCAUCAGAUUCAGAUUGUCCCAUGAAGGUUUCGAGAUGGAGGCCUGUGAGGAGGAUUUCAGGGGAGAUCAUACUAUGACUAUGACAAGAGGCUGAGAUUUGACUUGCACUGUAUUGAAAAGCAGGUUCAGGAGCUCCAAGCCAAUAAACGCCAGAGCUUUGAAAAAGAUGAUGCGUUAAUAUUUUAUCAUCAUGUGACCUAUUAAUUUUGAACCGUCCGGCCACACAUUUAUUCCAAAUCGCAUAUAUGGCAUCCGAGAAGGAAGAAUCUGAGUGGGAAGUACUACACGACGAUUCUUGAGAGGAACAAGUCGACGAGGACACCAAUGAUGAUAACUCUAUCGUCGUUCUGCACCCGGACAACAUGGAUAAGAUGCAACUCUUUCUUGGCUGUGAAUCGGUCGAUGGUUGACAAGAACACCAAUGGCGACACUCAUUGUGGCUUUACACUCGGACACCAUGGACAUG